rnacentral:rRNA from 1 species
GUUGUAUGGUUAAGUGACUAAGCGUACACGGUGGAUGCCUUGGCAGUCAGAGGCGAUGAAGGACGUAGUAACUUGCGAUAAGCGUAGAUGAGGCAGUAACAGCCACUUGAGUCUACGAUUUCCGAAUGGGGAAACCCACUGGCAUAAGCCAGUAUCAUUGAGUGAAUACAUAGCUCAAUGAAGCGAACCGGGAGAACUGAAACAUCUAAGUACCCCGAGGAAAAGAAAUCAACCGAGAUUCCGAAAGUAGCGGCGAGCGAAAUUGGAUUAGCCCUUAAGCUUUACAUGUGUUAGACGAACGGUCUGGAAAGUCCGACGAUACAGGGUGAUAGUCCCGUAGUUGUAGAUGCAUGUUCAGUGAAAUCGAGUAGGGCGGGACACGUGUUAUCCUGUCUGAAUAUGGGGGGACCAUCCUCCAAGGCUAAAUACUCCUGACUGACCGAUAGUGAACCAGUACCGUGAGGGAAAGGCGAAAAGAACCCCUGUGAGGGGAGUGAAAUAGAACCUGAAACCGUGUACGUACAAGCAGUAGGAGCACCUUCGUGGUGUGACUGCGUACCUUUUGUAUAAUGGGUCAGCGACUUAUAUUCAGUGGCAAGGUUAACCAUCUAGGGGAGCCGUAGGGAAACCGAGUCUUAACUGGGCGCCAUAGUCUCUGGAUAUAGACCCGAAACCGAGUGAUCUAGCCAUGGGCAGGUUGAAGGUUGAGUAACAUCAACUGGAGGACCGAACCGACUAAUGUUGAAAAAUUAGCGGAUGACUUGUGGCUAGGGGUGAAAGGCCAAUCAAACUCGGAGAUAGCUGGUUCUCCCCGAAAGCUAUUUAGGUAGCGCCUCGGACGAAUACUACUGGGGGUAGAGCACUGUUAAGGCUAGGGGGUCAUCCCGACUUACCAACCCUUUGCAAACUCCGAAUACCAGUAAGUACUAUCCGGGAGACACACGGCGGGUGCUAACGUCCGUCGUGGAGAGGGAAACAACCCAGACCGCCAGCUAAGGUCCCAAAUUACAGCUAAGUGGGAAACGAUGUGGGAAGGCUUAGACAGCUAGGAUGUUGGCUUAGAAGCAGCCAUCAUUUAAAGAAAGCGUAAU